UACGUAGGGAGCAAGCGUUGUCCGGAAUCAUUGGGGGUAAAGCGCGCGUAGGUGGCCUCAUAAGUCCGUUGUGAAAGUCAAAGGCUCAACCUUUGAAAGCCGAUGGAUACUGUGAGACUAGAGUACGGAAGAGGCGAGUGGAAUUCCUGGUGUAGCGGUGGAAUGCGCAGAUAUCAGGAGGAACACCAAUAGCGAAGGCAGCUCGCUGGGACGUUACUGACACUGAGGCGCGAAAGCGUGGGGAGCGAACAGG
rnacentral:rRNA from 1 species